rnacentral:rRNA from 1 species
UCAUUUGGAGAGUUUGAUCCUGGCUCAGAGUGAACGCUGGCGGCAUGGUUAAGACAUGCAAGUCGAACGAGAAGCUUAUCUUCGGAUUUGUGGAAAGUGGCGAACGGGUGCGUAACACGUGAGCAACCUGCCCUAAAGUACGGAACAGCCCGUCGAAAGAUGGAUUAAUGCUGUAUGUGGCCUUUUAUCGCAUGGUAAAAUGGCUAAAGCUUGUAAUGGCGCUUUAGGAUGGGCUCGCGGCCUAUCAGCUUGUUGGUGAGGUAAAAGCUCACCAAGGCUAAGACGGGUAGCUGGUCUGAGAGGAUGAUCAGCCACACCGGGACUGAGACACGGCCCGGACACCUACGGGUGGCAGCAGUUUCGAAUCAUUCACAAUGGGCGAAAGCCUGAUGGUGCAAUGCCGCGUGGAGGAUGA